UACGGAGGGGGCAAGCGUUGUUCGGAAUUACUGGGCGUAAAGGGCGCGUAGGCGGCCUGCUAAGUCGAACGUGAAAUCCCUGGGCUCAACCCAGGAACUGCGUCCGAUACUGGUUGGCUUGAAUCCGGGAGAGGGAUGCGGAAUUCCAGGUGUAGCGGUGAAAUGCGUAGAUAUCUGGAGGAACACCAGUAGCGAAGGCGGCUCGCUGGGCCAUGCCUGACGCUGAGACGCGAAAGCUAGGGGAGCGAACAGG
rnacentral:rRNA from 1 species